CCUACGGGUGGCAGCAGUGAGGAAUAUUGGGCAAUGGACGCAAGUCUGAACCAGCCAUGCCGCGUGCAGGAAGACGGCUCUAUGAGUUGUAAACUGCGUUUGUACGAGGGUAAACGCAGAUACGCGUAUCUGUCUGAAAGUAUCGUACGAAUAAGGAUAGGCUAACUCCGUGCCAGCAGCCGCGGUAAUACGGAGGAUUCAAGCGUUAUCCGGAUUUAUUGGGUUUAAAGGGUGCGUAGGCGGUCGUAUAAGUUAGAGGUGAAAGCCCGAGGCUCAACUGCGGAGGUGCCUGUGAUACUGUUCGGCUAGAGAGCAGUUGCGGUAGGCGGAAUGUAUGGUGUAGCGGUGAAAUGCUUAGAGAUCAGACAGAACACCGAUGGCGAAGGCAGCUUACCAAGCUACUUCUGACGUUGAGGCACGAAAGCGUGGGGAGCAAACAGGAUUAGAUACCCGGGUAGUC
rnacentral:rRNA from 1 species